UAAAAAUUUUUAAAAGUUGAUUACCAUCUUAUUAUCAUUAUCCUCCAGGUUGGCUCAAAGUUGGCGUGCGCGUGGGCGAACACCAUAAUACAUGUUAUUUCUAGUCAACUGUGUGAAAAUCAUCGAUGAACUUUAGUUACACAUAUUUAUGGUUAUUAUUACAUUAUUUAAUACUUAUUUCCAUCAUCUUCUGGACUCUUCUCAGGUUCGCUCAGCUCAUGCAUAGAACAUCCAGCAUCAUAUAAUUAUAUGCCUGUUAACGAAUGAAUUAUAGCGCCAGCUCGGAGACACUGUGAUUUAUGGAUAUUCUUUUAUUUGAGGGAGUAGAGUCACUGCAGAGUGCGACACCCUGAUAAGUGUCGACGAUAAUAUGCUAAUAAUGAUUUGUGGUGACGGUAACUUCCGCGUUAAUCCACCUAAACGCAGCUGAAUCUCCAUUCUCCAACCAGUCAAUUAUUUCUCAGUACACAUUUCAUACAUCUUAUCCAUAAUCUUCCGCCUCUUAUUUAUUUAGAGGUCAUUGAAAUUUUUUCCACACAUCCGUUCCGAAAUCUGGAUAUUGGAAUAAAUUGCUCCAAGAAGAAAUUAUUUCAGAAUCAAUUCUAAUAUUGACAAUCUCAAAUCAUCCCCAGUUUUUCACAAACUCUAGGGUAUUGCUGACACGAGCGUUUAUGUCUACAUAAAUUCUCAUUUGAACCUCCGAUAAUAAAGUAAGCAAGAGCAGGGCAGGGGGACAGAUACGGUUGCCCGGUUCGGCGAGCACAAGUCGAUGCAUAGAUCACCAGAGGAACGCGUUUCGCUUUGGACCUCUGCUGGUGUGGUGGUUGGAGGCACCAGCCAGUACAGCUGAAGGGAAAGAAGAAGAAGAAGAAGAAAGACGGCACUGUGCCAGCCAAUAUAUACGCACGAAUGUGAACAAUAUUAUGGUGUUUGCAGUGUACUGGAUCAAGAGUUCUAUGGUCGGUACUGUAUUUUUACACGCACGUGUGCUGCAUCCGUGUGUCGACAGCAUCCCGCGAAAGGAAGAUAAAGAAAGAGACAGUAGGAUGCUUAAUUAUAUGCAUUCUCAGAAUCUGGUUGGAUCUCAGCUCUAGACUCUGGAGCUGGAGCUCUAAUGCCAAAGAACAGACAAGAGUGUAUGUGUAUUUUGCAGCGACACUACUUCACUGGUGUUUGCGUCCGGUCACAAGAACUAAAGUAGGAGGGGUAGGUAGAAGAGAAGUUGAAGGCGACCCCCUUAUUUACGACCCCCCUUGCCAUAAUGCGAAAGGUAGUUUAGAGGUAUCGAACUCCUUCCUUUUCGCUUUCCUCGCCUUUUGGUGUGUGUAUGAGAGUCAUCCUGUCGUUGUUCCUCGUUUUUGUUCUAUUCGGUGUAUAUAUUUAUUUAUUUAUUUACUUAUUUCUUUCUUUAUACAUUUAUUUAUUAUACC